rnacentral:misc_RNA from 1 species
GGCUUUGCUGGUCAGCCCGGGAAUGGGACAUCUCAUUCCCUUCCUCGAGCUGGCCAACCGCCUCGUCCUCCACCACAACCUCCAAGCCACUCUCUUCGUCGUCGGCACCGGCUCCUCCACCGCCGAAUCGACCCUCCUCCAAAAACCCACCGCCGCCAAUAUCGUCCCUCUUCCUCACUCCUCAUCCACCCUCCACCCAAACGCCUCCUACAUCGACAUAAUCAAGGCCAUGAUGACCGCUUCUUUUCCCCACCUCCGGUCCUCCAUCGCCGCCGCCAAGCCCCGUCCGGCGGCCCUGAUCGUUGACCUUUUCGGAACCGAAGCUCUAUCCAUAGCCGGCGAACUCGGCAUGUUGGGUUUCGAAUUCAUAACCUCCAAUGCCUGGUUCCUCUCUCUCUCCUUAUUUUACCCUUCCA